AGAGCGAACGCUGGCGGAAUGCCUAACACAUGCAAGUCGCACGGUCAGCAAUGGCAGUGGCGGACGGGUGAGUAACGCGUAGGAAUAUGUCCAGAGGUGGGGGACAACCCCGGGAAACUGGGGCUAAUACCGCAUAUGAGCUGAGGCUCAAAGCAGUGAUGCGCCUUUGGAGUAGCCUGCGUCCGAUUAGCUUGUUGGUGGGGUAAUGGCCUACCAAGGCGUCGAUCGGUAGCUGGUCUGAGAGGAUGAUCAGCCACACUGGGACUGAGACACGGCCCAGACUCCUACGGGAGGCAGCAGUGGGGAAUAUUGGACAAUGGGCGCAAGCCUAAUCCAGCAAUGCCGCGUGGGUGAAGAAGGUCUUCGGAUUGUAAAGCCCUUUCGGCGGGACGAUGAUGACGGUACCCGCAGAAGAAGCCCCGGCUAACUUCGUGCCAGCAGCCGC
rnacentral:rRNA from 1 species